UGCAGUCGAGGGGCAGCAUCAUCAAAGCUUGCUUUGAUGGAUGGCGACCGGCGCACGGGUGAGUAACACGUAUCCAACCUGCCGACAACACUGGGAUAGCCUUUCGAAAGAAAGAUUAAUACCGGAUGGUAUAGUUUUCCCGCAUGGGAUGAUUAUUAAAGAAUUUCGGUUGUCGAUGGGGAUGCGUUCCAUUAGGCAGUUGGCGGGGUAACGGCCCACCAAACCUACGAUGGAUAGGGGUUCUGAGAGGAAGGUCCCCCACAUUGGAACUGAGACACGGUCCAAACUCCUACGGGAGGCAGCAGUGAGGAAUAUUGGUCAAUGGACGAGAGUCUGAACCAGCCAAGUAGCGUGAAGGAUGACUGCCCUAUGGGUUGUAAACUUCUUUUAUACGGGAAUAAAGUGAGCCACGUGUGGCUUUUUGUAUGUACCGUAUGAAUAAGGAUCGGCUAACUCCGUGCCAGCAGCCGCGGUAAUACGGAGGAUCCGAGCGUUAUCCGGAUUUAUUGGGUUUAAAGGGAGCGUAGGCGGGUUGUUAAGUCAGUUGUGAAAGUUUGCGGCUCAACCGUAAAAUUGCAGUUGAUACUGGCGACCUUGAGUGCAACAGAGGUGGGCGGAAUUCGUGGUGUAGCGGUGAAAUGCUUAGAUAUCACGAAGAACUCCGAUUGCGAAGGCAGCUUACUGGAUUGUAA
rnacentral:rRNA from 1 species